UAAGGACUUUCUUUGCUUCGGCUUGGAAGU
rnacentral:rRNA from 1 species